rnacentral:rRNA from 1 species
UACGGGGGGGUAAGCGUUGUUCGGAAUUACUGGGCGUAAAGGGCUCGUAGGCGGCCAACUAAGUCAGACGUGAAAUCCCUCAGCUUAACUGGGAACUGCGUCUGAUACUGGAUGGCUUGGAUUCGGGAGAGGAAUGCGGAAUUCCAGGUGUAGCGGUGAAAUGCGUAGAUAUCUGGAGGAACACCGGUGGCGAAGGCGGCAUUCUGGACCGAUAUUGACGCUGAGGAGCGAAAGCCAGGGGAGCAAACGGG